GAAACCAACAGGGAUUGCCUCAGUAACGGCGAGUGAAGCGGCAACAGCUCAAAUUUGAAAUCUGGCCUCUGGCCCGAGUUGUAAUUUGCAGAGGAUGUUUCUGGCGAGGUGCCUUCCGAGUUCCCUGGAACGGGACGCCAUAGAGGGUGAGAGCCCCGUCCGGUUGGUCGCUAAGCCUCUGUGAAACUCCUUCGACGAGUCGAGUAGUUUGGGAAUGCUGCUCUAAAUGGGAGGUAUACGUCUUCUAAAGCUAAAUACCGGCCAGAGACCGAUAGCGCACAAGUAGAGUGAUCGAAAGAUGAAAAGCACUUUGAAAAGAGGGUUAAAUAGUACGUGAAAUUGUUGAAAGGGAAGCGCUCAUGACCAGACUUGGGCCGGUUGAUCAUCCAUCGUUCUCGGUGGUGCACUCUGCCGGUUCAGGCCAGCAUCAGUUUGGUUCGGGGGAUAAAGGCUUCGGGAAUGUGGCUCCUCUCGGGGAGUGUUAUAGCCCGUUGCGUAAUACCCUGCGCUGGACUGAGGUACGCGCUCCGCAAGGAUGCUGGCGUAAUGGUCAUCAGUGACCCGUCUUGAAACACGGACCAAGGAGUCGUCUUCGUAUGCGAGUGUUCGGGUGUCAAACCCCUACGCGUAAUGAAAGUGAACGUAGGAGAGAGCUUCGGCGCAUCUCCGACCGAUCCUGAUGUUCUCGGAUGGAUUUGAGUAAGAGCAUACGGGGCCGGACCCGAAAGAAGGUGAACUAUGCCUGUAUAGGGUGAAGCCAGAGGAAACUCUGGUGGAGGCUCGCAGCGGUUCUGACGUGCAAAUCGAUCGUC
rnacentral:rRNA from 1 species